AGAGUUUGAUCCUGGCUCAGGAUGAACGCUAGCGACAGGCUUAACACAUGCAAGUCGAGGGGCAGCAUGAGGUAGCAAUACCUUGAUGGCGACCGGCGCACGGGUGAGUAACGCGUAUGCAACCUGCCCGAUACCGGGGUAUAGCCCAUGGAAACGUGGAUUAACACCCCAUAGUACUUUUAUCCUGCAUGGGAUGGGAGUUAAAUGUUCAAGGUAUCGGAUGGGCAUGCGUCCUAUUAGUUAGUUGGCGGGGUAACAGCCCACCAAGACGAUGAUAGGUAGGGGUUCUGAGAGGAAGGUCCCCCACAUUGGAACUGAGACACGGUCCAAACUCCUACGGGAGGCAGCAGUGAGGAAUAUUGGUCAAUGGACGAGAGUCUGAACCAGCCAAGUCGCGUGAGGGAAGACUGCCCUAUGGGUUGUAAACCUCUUUUAUAAGGGAAGAAUAAGUUCUACGUGUAGAAUGAUGCCUGUACCUUAUGAAUAAGCAUCGGCUAACUCCGUGCCAGCAGCCGCGGUAAUACGGAGGAUGCGAGCGUUAUCCGGAUUUAUUGGGUUUAAAGGGUGCGUAGGCGGUUUAUUAAGUUAGUGGUUAAAUAUUUGAGCUAAACUCAAUUGUGCCAUUAAUACUGGUAAACUGGAGUACAGACGAGGUAGGCGGAAUAAGUUAAGUAGCGGUGAAAUGCAUAGAUAUAACUUAGAACUCCGAUAGCGAAGGCAGCUUACCAGACUGUAACUGACGCUGAUGCACGAGAGCGUGGGUAGCGAACAGGAUUAGAUACCCUGGUAGUCCACGCCGUAAACG
rnacentral:rRNA from 1 species